rnacentral:rRNA from 1 species
GACGAACGCUGGCGGCGUGCUUAACACAUGCAAGUCGAACGGAAAGGCCCUGCUUUUGUGGGGUGCUCGAGUGGCGAACGGGUGAGUAACACGUGAGUAACCUGCCCUUGACUUUGGGAUAACUUCAGGAAACUGGGGCUAAUACCGGAUAGGAGCUCCUGCUGCAUGGUGGGGGUUGGAAAGUUUCGGCGGUUGGGGAUGGACUCGCGGCUUAUCAGCUUGAUGGUGGGGUAGUGGCUUACCAAGGCUUUGACGGGUAGCCGGCCUGAGAGGGUGACCGGCCACAUUGGGACUGAGAUACGGCCCAGACUCCUACGGGAGGCAGCAGUGGGGAAUAUUGCACAAUGGGCGGAAGCCUGAUGCAGCAACGCCGCGUGCGGGAUGACGGCCUUCGGGUUGUAAACCGCUUUCGCCUGUGACGAAGCGUGAGUGACGGUAAUGGGUAAAGAAGCACCGGCUAACUACGUGC